rnacentral:rRNA from 1 species
GUUGUAUAGUCAAGUAAUUAAGUGCAUGUGGUGGAUGCCUUGGCAGUCAGAGGCGAUGAAAGACGUGAUAGCCUGCGAAAAGCUCCGGGGAGGCGGCAAAUAUCCUUUGAUCCGGAGAUGUCUGAAUGGGGGAACCCACCUACUUUAAGGUAGGUAUUGCAACAUGAAUACAUAGUGUUGCAAGGCGAACGAGGGGAAGUGAAACAUCUCAGUACCCUUAGGAAAAGAAAUCAAUUGAGAUUCCCUCAGUAGCGGCGAGCGAACGGGGAUCAGCCCAUUAAGUUAUGUGUGUUUUAGUGGAACGCUCUGGGAAGUGCGAACGUAGAGGGUGAUAUUCCCGUACACGAAAGGGCACACAUAAUGAUGACGAGUAGGGCGAGGCACGUGAAACCUUGUCUGAAUAUGGGGGGACCAUCCUCCAAGGCUAAAUACUCCUGACUGACCGAUAGUGAACCAGUACCGUGAGGGAAAGGCGAAAAGAACCCCUGUGAGGGGAGUGAAAUAGAUCCUGAAACCGCAUGCAUACAAGCAGUGGGAGCACCUUCGUGGUGUGACUGCGUACCUUUUGUAUAAUGGGUCAGCGACUUAUAUUCAGUAGCGAGGUUAACCGUAUAGGGGAGCCGUAGAGAAAUCGAGUCUUAAUAGGGCGUUUAGUUGCUGGGUAUAGACCCGAAACCAGGCGAUCUAUCCAUGAGCAGGUUGAAGGUUGGGUAACACUAACUGGAGGACCGAACCCACUGUCGUUGAAAAGCCAGGGGAUGACUUGUGGAUAGGGGUGAAAGGCUAAUCAAGCCUGGUGAUAGCUGGUUCUCCCCGAAAGCUAUUUAGGUAGCGCCUCGGACGAAUACCAUAGGGGGUAGAGCACUGUUUCGGCUAGGGGGUCAUCCCGACUUACCAAACCGAUGCAAACUCCGAAUACCUAUGAGUACUAUCCGGGAGACAGACUGCGGGUGCUAACGUCCGUAGUCAAGAGGAAAACAAUCCAGACCGCCAGCUAAGGCCCCAAAAUCAUAGUUAAGUGGGAAACGAUGUGGGAAGGCAUAGACAGCUAGGAGGUUGGCUUAGAAGCAGCCACCCUUUAAAGAAAGCGUAAUAGCUCACUAGUCGAGUCGGCCUGCGCGGAAGAUGUAACGGGGCUAAAACUAUGUGCCGAAGCUGCGGAUNNNNNNNNNNNNNNNNNNNNNNNNNNNNNNNNNNNNNNNNNNNNNNNAUGCUGGAGGUAUCAGAAGUGCGAAUGCUGACGUGAGUAACGACAAAACGGGUGAAAAACCCGUUCGCCGAAAGACCAAGGGUUCCAGUCCAACGUUAAUCGGGGCUGGGUGAGUCGACCCCUAAGGCGAGGCCGAAAGGCGUAGUCGAUGGGAAAAUGGUUAAUAUUCCAUUACUUCUGUGUAAUGCGAUGAGAGGACGGAGAAGGCUAAAUCAGCCUGGCGUUGGUUGUCCAGGUGAAAGGAUGUAGGCAUGUAUCUUAGGCAAAUCCGGGGUACUCUAUGCUGAGAUCUGAUAGCAAGCUGUACUUGUACAGCGAAGUGGUUGAUGCCAUGCUUCCAGGAAAAGUCUCUAAGCUUCAGUUACACAGGAAUCGUACCCGAAACCGACACAGGUGGUCAGGUCGAGUAGACCAAGGCGCUUGAGAGAACUCUGCUGAAGGAACUAGGCAAAAUGGUACCGUAACUUCGGGAGAAGGUACGCUGUUGUUGGUGAUGGAACUCGCUUCCUGAGCUGACGACAGCCGCAGAAACCAGGCCGCUGCAACUGUUUAUUAAAAACAUAGCACUCUGCAAACACGAAAGUGGACGUAUAGGGUGUGAUGCCUGCCCGGUGCUGGAAGGUUAAUUGAUGGGGUUAGCGUAAGCGAAGCUCUUGAUCGAAGCCCCAGUAAACGGCGGCCGUAACUAUAACGGUCCUAAGGUAGCGAAAUUCCUUGUCGGGUAAGUUCCGACCUGCACGAAUGGCAUAAUGAUGGCGGCGCUGUCUCCAGCAGAGGCUCAGUGAAAUCGAAAUCGCUGUGAAGAUGCAGUGUACCCGCGGCUAGACGGAAAGACCCCGUGAACCUUUACUGCAGCUUGACACUGAACUUUGACCUUACUUGUGUAGGAUAGGUGGGAGGCUUUGAAGCUGGAACGCUAGUUCCAGUGGAGCCGUCCUUGAAAUACCACCCUGGUAAUGUUGAGGUUCUAACUCUGUCCCGUGAUCCGGGACGAGGACCGUGUCUGGUGGGUAGUUUGACUGGGGCGGUCUCCUCCUAAAGAGUAACGGAGGAGUACGAAGGUGCGCUCAGCGUGGUCGGAAAUCACGCGUAGAGUAUAAAGGCAAAAGCGCGCUUAACUGCGAGACCCACAAGUCGAGCAGGUACGAAAGUAGGUCUUAGUGAUCCGGUGGUUCUGUAUGGAAGGGCCAUCGCUCAACGGAUAAAAGGUACUCUGGGGAUAACAGGCUGAUACCGCCCAAGAGUUCAUAUCGACGGCGGUGUUUGGCACCUCGAUGUCGGCUCAUCUCAUCCUGGGGCUGAAGCAGGUCCCAAGGGUAUGGCUGUUCGCCAUUUAAAGAGGUACGCGAGCUGGGUUUAGAACGUCGUGAGACAGUUCGGUCCCUAUCUACCGUGGGCGCUGGAAAUUUGAGAGGAUCUGCUCCUAGUACGAGAGGACCAGAGUGGACGAACCUCUGGUGUACCGGUUGUGACGCCAGUCGCAUCGCCGGGUAGCUAUGUUCGGAAGGGAUAACCGCUGAAAGCAUCUAAGCGGGAAGCCUACCUCAAGAUAAGAUUUCCCUAGGACUUUAUGUCCUCUAAAGAGCCGUUCGAGACUAGGACGUUGAUAGGUUGGAUGUGGAAGCAUAGUGAUAUGUGAAGCUGACCAAUACUAAUUGCUCGUGAGGCUUGACUAUACAACACCCAAGCAGUUG